AAACAUGCAUUGGAAUAACAUAUUCUACCUUUUCUUCUUUUCUUAUGUAAUGCAAAGAGAAUAAUUGAGAACAGGUGAAGAAAAUAGACAGCUAUACUAAAGUGGAUUAGUUUCAUUACCCCAUCAGUAAAGAUGAUGAACACACACAAAAAUGAGAUCAGAAGUCUCUAGAUAUAUAUAUAUAUAUAUAUGAUAUAUAUGUGCUUUACUUUUCCUCUAAUUUCUCAUAUUUAAACUACUGAUCUCCCUUACCUUCUUCUUCAAUACAACUAGAAUCUUCCCUUUCAUAAAGUUUCUUCUGUUCACAUAUCUCUCUUUGAGAAUCCCAGAAACUAAUUAAUACCCCAUUGAAGAAACAAAGAUAAAGUAGAAAAAAAGGAAAAAAAGUACCGUAGUUUCUUGAGUUUUCUCAUCAAGUAUUGUGAUUUAAAUACCCUUGUUGUUCUUUCUCUUCUUCUUCGUCUUUUGGCUUGUUAGCUUCUGUUGGAUAGAAGAUAUGAGUGAUCCCAAAUAUGCGUAUCCCUACCCACCUCCUCAAGGAGGAUAUUAUCAAGGGCCACCAGUGAUGGCGCCACCUCAGUACGCCGCCCCACCGCCAAAACGACAACCGGGUUUCUUGGAGGGAUGCCUUGCAGCUCUAUGCUGCUGCUGUCUCCUUCAUGAAUGCUGCUGUGACCCUUCCAUUAUCUUUCUUACUUGAUGCUAUGAGAGAUUUCUUCAUUGCCUUUGUAGCUGUAAAUUGCCUGAUCUCUUUUCUCUUUUCUUUUCUUCUUUUGUGAUUGUGGUUUGAUUUUGUGUAAACUUGGGAAAGAACAUUGAUUGGUGUGUAGAAUAAAAGCUUGCUUUGUUGUAAAGUAUAGUGUUUAUAUACUCAUUUGAUAAUAAAUUUACUGAUCAUUACCUAGCAAA